AUUGAACGCUGGCGGCAGGCCUAACACAUGCAAGUCGAGCGGAUGAAGGGAGCUUGCUCCUGGAUUCAGCGGCGGACGGGUGAGUAAUGCCUAGGAAUCUGCCUGGUAGUGGGGGAUAACGUCCGGAAACGGGCGCUAAUACCGCAUACGUCCUGAGGGAGAAAGUGGGGGAUCUUCGGACCUCACGCUAUCAGAUGAGCCCAGGUCGGAUUAGCUAGUUGGUGGGGUAAAGGCCUACCAAGGCGACGAUCCGUAACUGGUCUGAGAGGAGGAUCAGUCACACUGGAACUGAGACACGGUCCAGACUCCUACGGGAGGCAGAAGUGGGGAAUAUUGGACAAUGGGCGAAAGCCUGAUCCAGCCAUGCCGCGUGUGUGAAGAAGGUCUUCGGAUUGUAAAGCACUUUAAGUUGGGAGGAAGGGCAGUAAGUUAAUACCUUGCUGUUUUGACGUUACCAACAGAAUAAGCACCGGCUAACUUCGUG
rnacentral:rRNA from 1 species